GGUUGGCUAUGAUGAUACAUCUUUCAGCUUUACAUGCCAGUUCUGCUUCAGAUAAGUCAUGAUUGAGAAAGCUGUUUUAUGCUGAGCCACCU
rnacentral:snoRNA from 2 species